rnacentral:rRNA from 1 species
GAUGAACGCUGGCGGCGUGCCUAAUACAUGCAAGUCGAGCGAACAGACGAGGAGCUUGCUCCUUUGACGUUAGCGGCGGACGGGUGAGUAACACGUGGGUAACCUACCUAUAAGACUGGGAUAACUUCGGGAAACCGGGGCUAAUACCGGAUAAUAUUUCGAACCGCAUGGUUCGAUAGUGAAAGAUGGCUUUGCUAUCACUUAUAGAUGGACCUGCGCCGUAUUAGCUAGUUGGUAAGGUAACGGCUUACCAAGGCAACGAUACGUAGCCGACCUGAGAGGGUGAUCGGCCACACUGGAACUGAGACACGGUCCAGACUCCUACGGGAGGCAGCAGUAGGGAAUCUUCCGCAAUGGGCGAAAGCCUGACGGAGCAACGCCGCGUGAGUGAUGAAGGUCUUCGGAUCGUAAAACUCUGUUAUUAGGGAAGAACAAACGUGUAAGUAACUGUGCACGUCUUGACGGUACCUAAUCAGAAAGCCACGGCUAACUACGUG